UGGGGAAUAUUGCACAAUGGGGGAAACCCUGAUGCAGCGACGCCGCGUGAGUGAAGAAGUAUUUCGGUAUGUAAAGCUCUAUCAGCAGGGAAGACAACCGCCCUCAGGGGCGGCUACGACGGUACCUGACUAAGAAGCCCCGGCUAACUACGUGCCAGCAGCCGCGGUAAUACGUAGGGGGCAAGCGUUAUCCGGAUUUACUGGGUGUAAAGGGAGCGUAGACGGCUACUGCAAGUCUGAAGUGAAAACCCCAGGGCUCAACCUUGGGACUGCUUUGGAAACUGCAGAGCUUGAGUACCGGAGGGGUAAGCGGAAUUCCUAGUGUAGCGGUGAAAUGCGUAGAUAUUAGGAGGAACACCAGUGGCGAAGGCGGCUUACUGGACGGUAACUGACGUUGAGGCUCGAAAGCGUGGGGAGCAAACAGGAUUAGAUACCC
rnacentral:rRNA from 1 species